rnacentral:rRNA from 1 species
CUCCGGUUGAUCCCGCCGGACCCGACUGCUAUCAGAGUGGGACUAAGCCAUGCGAGUCAACAUAGCAAUAUGUGGCAUACGGCUCAGUAACACGUAGUCAACAUGCCCAGGGGACGUGGAUAACCUCGGGAAACUGAGGAUAAACCGCGAUAGGUCAUCACUUCUGGAAUGGGUAAUGACUUAAAUCUAUAUGGCCCCUGGAUUGGACUGCGGCCGAUCAGGCUGUUGGUGAGGUAAUGGCCCACCAAACCUGUAACCGGUACGGGCUCUGAGAGGAGGAGCCCGGAGAUGGGCACUGAGACAAGGGCCCAGGCCCUAUGGGGCGCAGCAGGCGCGAAACCUCUGCAAUAGGCGAAAGCUUGACAGGGUUACUCUGAGUGAUUUCCGUUAAGGAGAUCUUUUGGCACCUCUGAAAAUGGUGCAGAAUAAGGGGUGGGCAAGUCUGGUGUCAGCCGCCGCGGUAAUACCAGCACCCCGAGUGGUCGGGACGUUUAUUGGGCCUAAAGCAUCCGUAGCCGGUUCUACAAGUCUUCCGUUAAAUCCGCCUGCUUAACAGAUGGGCUGCGGAAGAUACUAUAGAGCUAGGAGGCGGGAGAGGCAAGCGGUACUCGAUGGGUAGGGGUAAAAUCCGUUGAUCCAUUGAAGACCACCAGUGGCGAAGGCGGCUUGCCAGAACGCGCUCGACGGUGAGGGAUGAAAGCUGGGGGAGCAAACCGGAUUAGAUACCCGGGUAGUCCCAGCUGUAAACGAUGCAGACUCGGUGAUGAGUUGGCUUAUUGCUAACUCAGUGCCGCAGGGAAGCCGUUAAGUUUGCCGCCUGGGGAGUACGGUCGCAAGACUGAAACUUAAAGGAAUUGGCGGGGGAGCA